GAGUGUUGAUGAAGAGAAGAAUCCCUUUAAGAAAUAAUUUCUGCUGGGCCAUUAGUUUGUGCAAGCUCAGGUGUUUUUAGGGCAGGGAGCUCAGUACCAAACCUCCAAACAGCUUCAAUCCUCCCCUCACUUAAACCUGACCCUGGGGCACUCAGCCACCCCAGAUUCCUGCCAGGAGCACCGGAGGAGGCUGAGACAGGAGGCUUGCCACAAAUUCAAAGCCAGCCUGGGCUACACAGGGAGACUCCAUCUCAUACCUACACAUGAGCCUCCUGUUGGUGACAGAGCUGACGUCCAGCGGAGGCUCCCUGAUGAUGCAGGCCUGCCCCUCACACCCUGAGGACCAGGCUGGCUGGGGCCAGGAGGAGGACAGGACGCCGAGAGGUCAUCAUGGAGCCAACACAGCCCUUGCCUGUUCCCCUCAUCCCUCCCCUCAGGCUGAGACCAGGAGGAUAAGGAAGGGGGGCUGGCUCCUCCCCAGAGCCUCAGUGGACCUCCUUUCACCAGGAAGAAGACAAGACGGAAAGAAAGCCAGGACCGCUCAGCACAGGCCUCGGAGCCGGCUUCCAGCAGAGGCUAUAACGGUUCAGACCCGCCGAGUGCUCAGGGCCACCCUCUGAGAACAGGUCGGGAUUUACGCUGCCACCAAAGUUCCGUCAGGACUUAAAAUGAGCAAGCCCAGCUCUUCAUCUCACCCUGCAGCUCACCGAUGGGGACAUUUUUACUUCACAGUCAUUCAAUUCAUAUUCCUUGAGGAACGUUUUUUGGGUUUAGAUUUUGCAUUUGUAGUUAUGGAAAGACAAAAGUUGAAUAGAAAAGAAAAUAACAAUACUGACAUCAUUUUUAAAGACAAAGGGGAAACAGUAUAAAUCAGGUUCCAUCCUUUCCUACAGUCCUAUUUGCUCUGAGAUAACAGGAUCCUAUGGGUUUUCUUGAACUCGAGGCUCACGGUUGCUGGGCAUUGCUCCCACUGCUGGGUGGACGGACCCUAUGACCAAAAGAUGGUAAACUCCCCUCAAAAGGCUAGGCCGCACCGAUAGAGGCCGUCCCAAACCCACAAAAGCUUGUAAGUGAGCCAUAGAGCUCUCAGAUUGAGUCCAAAGCCACGGAAUCACUUGCCAAGACAACCAACAAUGACUGCCAGAAUACACAAAAUUCUUCACACAACAACGUAAAAUUUACAACUGUCUGUCUCCUAUCCAAAAUCACCAAUCAUCAAGUAAGCAAGAAACUUUGACCCAAAACCAGAAGAAAAAAAUCAGCAGACACAAAAGAGAUCAAAAAUGAUCGUGACGACAGAGUCACAGCAACGGACCUGAGACAGCCUGCAGCCAAAGGCAGUCAAAGGACACCUUGGGUCUCUAACUUCUCAAAAAUCGCGUUAAGUUACACUAAGUAAGAGCAUUGUGGAGAACAGCAGAAUAAGUGUCCAAAGCAAGGGGGUAUCGCAAGUGGGAUUAGGGGCAGUAUAUCUCUUCCUGAAUUAAAUUUUAAAUAUUUUAAACAUUGGCUGUGUUUUUCAACCAUACCAUGAACAUCCUACAAAAUACAUUCUGUUAGCUAAAGAAAAACACCACAUAGUGAAGGACUAGGAUAUGCAAAAGCCUCGGGGUCAGGGGGAGGCAGAAGGAAAUCCGGGCGUUGAAACUAUUUUCUCCGUGAAGGGCAAAAAUCAGACACUGCAAGAAGCGGCCCAGGACUUGGAGAGUGCAGGGAGAAGAAAUCUAGAAACAAGGAUGGAGAGGGAAAAGCUGAGAACGAGAAGGUCUCUGGGAACUGAGGGAGGCUUCCCAGGCACGAGCCCGGGUCACUGUCACUCAUGUCGCAGAAGAGGGACAGAGGACACUGGGAGAAACAGUUAUGACAGCAGAGCUUCCAGCCGCUGAGCGCUGCCAGCCAGGGGCCCGCCGGGCCCUGCAGAGCAGAGGCACCAAGAACCCGCACGCAGCCCGGGUGCAGAGAAACUUCCACAGCAGGAAGGUGUUUUCCAGAGCCCCACGGACCACACAGACAGGCAAAGGGGGGCGCACCAGGACCGCCCCCCUGCAGGAGCCCGCGGCCAGCACCUGGGAGCAGCGGCAUCAGGCGCCGGCAGGAACAGCUCCGAAAAGCUUAAUCAAGGUUUUCAUCGAAGACAAAGUUUGUAUCAUUAUCUGUUGCUGUCUUGCAGGAAUCUCUUUGGUUUAUGUCGUGUGCUAAGUGACAAUUUUGAAAAUAAUGGUAUACAGUGCAAUAACUACCAUUCAUCUCUUAUGAUUUGCUUAUUAAAUUUGUUUCAAUUUUUCAUAAAAGAAAGACAACACCAGGCCCAGGUAGCGGCACGGGGUAAUUCUUCCACUUAAUUACAGAAAACAUAAUUCAAACAUGUGCAAAAAUCCUACAGAAACUAGAAUAGAAAGGAACACGGAUUCCUCAUCCAUAAGGUACGUUCAGAGUCAUUUCCACAGCAAAACCCAGAGUCGUGGGGAGAAAGCUGUAGACGUAUGUUAGCAGGUCCAAUCCAACUGUCGUGUAUCACCGUAAACCCAGAUUUGGUAGCAUUAUUUUUAAAUGACUUAAUUCCUCAUGACCAAGUAGAGUUUAUGAUGGGAAGGUAAUCUUGGUUUAAU
ensembl:lincRNA